rnacentral:rRNA from 1 species
UCGUUGGGUCCUUGAGGACUUAGUGACGCAGCUAACGCAAUAAGUAGACCGCCUGGGGAGUACGGCCGCAAGGUUAAAACUCAAAUGAAUUGACGGGGGCCCGCACAAGCGGUGGAGCAUGUGGUUUAAUUCGAUGCAACGCGAAGAACCUUACCUGGUCUUGACAUAUCUAGAAUCCUGCAGAGAUGCGGGAGUGCCUUCGGGAAUUAGAAUACAGGUGCUGCAUGGCUGUCGUCAGCUCGUGUCGUGAGAUGUUGGGUUAAGUCCCGCAACGAGCGCAACCCUUGUCCUUAGUUACCAGCGGUUUGGCCGGGAACUCUAAGGAUACUGCCAGUGACAAACUGGAGGAAGGCGGGGACGACGUCAAGUCAUCAUGGCCCUUACGACCAGGGCUACACACGUGCUACAAUGGUAGGUACAGAGGGCAGCUACACAGCGAUGUGAUGCGAAUCUCAAAAAGCCUAUCGUAGUCCAGAUUGGAGUCUGCAACUCGACUCCAUGAAGUAGGAAUCGCUAGUAAUCGCGGAUCAGAAUGCCGCGGUGAAUACGUUCCCGGGCCUUGUACACACCGCCC